CCUACGGGUGGCUGCAGUCGAGAAUCAUUCACAAUGGGGGAAACCCUGAUGGGGCGACGCCGCGUGGGGGAAUGAAGGUCUGCGGAUUGUAAACCCCUGUCAUGUGGGAGCAAAGUAAAAAGAUAGUACCACAAGAGGAAGAGACGGCUAACGCUGUGCCAGCAGCCGCGGUAAUACAGAGGUCGCAAGCGUUGUUCGGAACCACUGGGCGUAAAGCGUGCGUAGGCUGUUUCGUAAGUCGUGUGUGAAAGGCGCGGGCUCAACCCGCGGACGGCACCUGAUACUGCGAGACUAGAGUACUGGAGGGGGAACCGGAUUUCUCGGUGUAGCCGU
rnacentral:rRNA from 1 species